GCGUUGUUCGGAGUUACUGGGCGUAAAGGGUGUGUAGGCGGUUCUCUAAGUUUGGUGUGAAAUCUCCCGGCUCAACUGGGAGGGUGCGCCGAAAACUGGGGGGCUAGAGUGCGGGAUGGGAGAGUAGAAUUCCUGGUGUAGCGGUGAAAUGCGUAGAUAUCAGGAGGAAUACCUGUGGUGUAGACGGCUCUCUGGACCGUAACUGACGCUGAGACACGAAAGCGUG
rnacentral:rRNA from 1 species